CGCGGAGGUCACACCUGUCAGGAGCGAUCUGCGCACAGACAGAACCCUGGUCUUCAGGCCCUCCACCCUGGUUUUCCCCCGCCGCCUGUCUUCGGGGGCAGAGACGGACCAGGCUCGGUCACAAUCCCCAGGUCUGAGCUUGUUGGACACCGUGUACUGAUGUAUCCCUGUCCCAGCCGAUCGAGUCCAGCGAGAAAGCAAGUCUCGAGGUCGUAUACUUACUUCGUGCAACCCGUCUCUUGGGCACGUAGUGGACACCUGUGCCAGAAGCGCGAAUAUGAUGGCAGAAUUUUGCCUUCAAGAUGAAGAUGGUUCACGGAGAUAAGUGAUACGUGUAUGUUGCAAAGAGAGAAAUCACAUCCGUCUACAGGUAGACAUGGUUCUCAUACCCAGAAAUGGAAGCAGCAAUUUGGAACCGGCGCCUCGAUGGAAAAGCAUGUAAGUCACCCUCGAGUUGGGCCGCCCUUUAAAGAACGCUGCCCUGAGCGUCGACGCCACUCGAGAUAUUUCCACGGUCGUGCUCUGUCUCGCCCGUACACUGUCGUGAAGGGUGACCGCGGCAUAACCCUCGAUCCGCUCAACCAGACAGGCGCACACCACGCAUCUCAAGGGGCCACGACCUGCCGUCUGGGUGGUGAGGCGUGUCCCCCUGCCUCAGGGUCCUCUGUGUCCCGACAGGACUCAGAACACCUGACGUGAGCUCCAAGGGAAGGUCCCCCUGUCUGUCCGUUUAUAAACGUAGCCAAGUUAAUCUCCUUUUUGGGCAAAUGGAAACAUAAACGGGGUCUCCAACUUUCUCUCCUGUCCCCACUGCCCCGGCUGAGCCCCCUCUUGCUGGGGGAGAGUUAGCACCCUCCCAUCCUGGGAUACUCUGGAGGAAGGAGGCAGGCGGGUGGCUGUACCGUGGGACCUCCGGGGAACGGACGCUGCCCGGCACAGUCCCAAGGGGAGGCGCGGACACACCCAGUCUCCCCUCGAUGUUCUUCGGAGCCAGAAGCCCGUCCGUGAGUCAGGGCGCUUCCCGCGAUCCCCCGCUUAGCCGCGUGGCUCUGCGGCCCCUCCCCUCCAGAGGCGGACUGCACGUCACUAGUCGUCCGCUCCGGGAGGGCCUCGUGACACCCCUGACCAGUGCGGUGGAGCAGGAAGGACGUGGGACGUCCAAGGUGAGGCAGGUCCUCCUUUACACUCUUGGCACGUGCUCCCCGUCGCUUGAAGACGCCCAGGAUGAGAGGCCGAGCCAGGUGAGAGCAGCUGAAGGAUCACCAGUGCACGCGGGAGUCCUGAGGAGCGACGCGGCAGCGCUGUCGUAGGCCUCGGUGUCCCGAGGUAGUUUCUUACGCAGCAACACUCACCGAUGCAUCAGUGAGGCCCUCCGGUUCCUCAUCAGGGCACCUGCUUCCUGAUCGAGAAGGCGAGUUUGAAUUCGAUGGUCUCCAGGCCCCGAACGCUCCAGAGCCACGUUAGCAAACAGAGCCGUGGCAAAGACGCCAGGUCAGAGGGAGCGGGACUCAGGAGCACACGACGCCUCCCCGUGGCCACAGUCCGCCCCGCUUCGGGGACAGCUGACGAGGAGGGCGGCCAGCCCACUCCGGCCGCACUCCCGGAGCAUGGGGCGCGGUGCCGGGGACAGGUGAGCUCGGCCACCGAGGGCACGGCCCUCCAGACCUGUGGUCACGCCCCGCUCCACUAUCCCUGCCGCCUGCCCUUCCUCAAAAAGCCCCCGGCCACCCCGAGCCUGUGUCCUCCUCUGCCGACCACAGACAGGUGUAGCCACCCCCGGGAGCCGCUGCGAGGAGCAGACACCGUACGCGGAGCGCCUGGUGCCCAGGAGGCACCGAACGUGGGGGCUGCAGCCUGCGCACUUGAGCUCAGAGGUGCGUGGAGGGGGUGGCAGCGGGGCCGGCACUAGUCAGGGGGCUUCGAUCAUGCCUACGAGUUGAACGGGUAGCGCUUUUACGUUCAGAAGCGCUCGAUGCCGACCGUACACGGUUCCCAGAGCCGAGACAGAAGGGGACGUUGGAGGGUAACUCCCCCUUGUUCAUCUGGACGAGCGCAAACAUCGUAGUAAGUCGUCAGUGCGGGCCGCACAUUCCUUGGGCCAUAAACCAAUGACCGUGGGCUCCCCAUAGAAGCAAAAGGGUACUUUUAAAAGCAGCAGCCCUGGGUCACCGGUACCUCCCAGUGGUUGGGUCAUUCUAUUUUUCCCUCGUCCUUCUCUAAACUCUUAACUUCCCCAUUGUGGAACAUCAUUGGCUUGACCUCUGACU